AAAAGUAAUGGCUAUGCUUACUUUUUUUAAGUGAACAAAGAACAAACGUGAUUAUCUCCCGUGAAGAUCACCAUUACCAGGGAAUUUCAAAUACAGAAACAACUGAUACAAAUGUUUAUGAAAAGAUAAAAGACUCUAAUAAAGCAGAAAAUAGAGUGCAAUACCUGGAAUUAAUUGAUGUGCCAGAUGUUGAUAAGAAGAAUGACAGAGUCAAUACUCAGGGUGAUGAGAGUAGCUACUCUAACAUUACAUAAUCUAAAAGAAGAAUCAAAAAGAAACAAUGACAAAAAAUUAACUUUCAAUUUUUCUUCAUAUAUUCUUUCAUAUUUAAAGCAUGAAGUUUUAAUUGAAUAAUUUAUUUCCACUUUGGGUUUCAGCGGCGAGAACUUUUAUAAUGGAUGCUAGAGGUUACGUGGCGCGAAGUCAAAAGAAUCUCGCCGUGAAUCUCUAGCAUGAUCAGCUGGAUUAGUAAGACUUCGUAUGAAAAACCUGA